CAAAAUUGAUACGAUCGCGCACUCGCCGGUAAUCGGCAUUACGGUAAAAUCGUAUCGCGGCGAGAAACAAAAUGGUCGACGCGCGACGCAGAACAGAACGAAUUUUACACAAAACGCGCGAUUGUCCGGCAAAAUUUUGAGCAAGCAGCGUUCUGAUCGCAAUAUAAACUACAGAGCGGAAUAAAGUGCAAUCAGAUAUGUAUAAUACCGCGAGUUGCCGCGCAUGUCAAUUCAAAGAUUGGGAUAGCGGCUUUGAACUCAGAAAAGGGAAUGUAAAAUGAAACAACGUGCAUUUGCAUACAAAAGAAGAAUUCAUCCAGAAGGAUAGCUAUCGAGAGGUAUGAAGAAAUCGGCCGUUCAGACGAAUAUAAACAAUGACUAACAAACAAUCACACGUGUCGAUCACUGUUAACGUCUGAUUCGCAAAUGAGAAAAUAAACACAGA